UGGGAUGGUACAAAGGGUCGCCAACCCGCGAGGGGGAGCCAAUCCCAUAAAGCCAUUCGUAGUCCGGAUCGCAGUCUGCAACUCGACUGCGUGAAGUCGGAAUCGCUAGUAAUCGUGGAUCAGAAUGUCACGGUGAAUACGUUCCCGGGUCUU
rnacentral:rRNA from 1 species